UACAGAGGUCUCAAGCGUUGUUCGGAUUCAUUGGGCGUAAAGGGUGCGUAGGUGGCGCCGUAAGUCGGGUGUGAAAUUUCGGAGCUUAACUCCGAAACUGCAUUCGAUACUGCGGUGCUUGAGGACUGGAGAGGAGACUGGAAUUCAUGGUGUAGCAGUGAAAUGCGUAGAGAUCAUGAGGAAGACCAGUGGCGAAGGCGACUACCUGGCCUGUUCUUGACGCUGAGGCGCGAAAGCUAGGGGAGCAAACGGG
rnacentral:rRNA from 1 species